rnacentral:rRNA from 1 species
CUACCCGCUGAACUUAAGCAUAUCAAUAAGCGAGAGGAAA